AGACGUAUGGUGUAGUUGGUUCUGCAUGACAGUCUGAUAAACUGUAGGUUCUAGUUCAAAUCUAGGUGCGUCUA
rnacentral:tRNA from 1 species